UACGUAGGUGGCAAGCGUUGUCCGGAUUUACUGGGCGUAAAGAGCGCGCAGGCGGUCGUGCAAGUCGCGUGUGAAAGCCCCCGGCUCAACUGGGGAGGGUCACGCGAUACUGCUCGACUCGAAGGCAGGAGAGGGAAGUGGAAUUCCCGGUGUAGUGGUGAAAUGCGUAGAUAUCAGGAGGAACACCUGUGGCGAAAGCGGCGCGCUGGACCACAACUGACGCUGAGGCGCGAAAGCUAGGGGAGCAAACAGG
rnacentral:rRNA from 1 species